GAGAGAGGUCCGGGACACGAAGAUCUGCUAAUUCUUCUUAUCAUGGCUC
rnacentral:tRNA from 1 species